rnacentral:rRNA from 1 species
GGUGAACGCUGGCGGUAGGCCUAACACAUGCAAGUCGAACGGCAGCACAGUAAGAGCUUGCUCUUACGGGUGGCGAGUGGCGGACGGGUGAGGAAUACAUCGGAAUCUACUUUUUCGUGGGGGAUAACGUAGGGAAACUUACGCUAAUACCGCAUACGACCUACGGGUGAAAGCAGGGGAUCUUCGGACCUUUCGCGAUUGAAUGAGCCGAUGUCGGAUUAGCUAGUUGGCGGGGUAAAGGCCCACCAAGGCGACGCUCCGUAGCUGGUCUGAGAGGAUGAUCAGCCACACUGGAACUGAGACACGGUCCAGACUCCUACGGGAGGCAGCAGUGGGGAAUAUUGGACAAUGGGCGCAAGCCUGAUCCAGCCAUACCGCGUGGGUGAAGAAGGCCUUCGGGUUGUAAAGCCCUUUUGUUGGGAAAGAAAAGCAGCAGGUUAAUACCCCGCUGUUCUGACGGUACCCAAAGAAUAAGCACCGGCUAACUUCGUG